rnacentral:piRNA from 1 species
UGCGAGUGGAAUGAAUGCGAUCCUCCCACC